rnacentral:rRNA from 1 species
CAGGGCUAACACAUGCAAGUCGAACGGAAAGGCCCUGCUUUUGUGGGGUGCUCGAGUGGCGAACGGGUGAGUAACACGUGAGUAACCUGCCCUUGACUUUGGGAUAACUUCAGGAAACUGGGGCUAAUACCGGAUAGGAGCUCCUGCUGCAUGGUGGGGGUUGGAAAGUUUCGGCGGUUGGGGAUGGACUCGCGGCUUAUCAGCUUGUUGGUGGGGUAGUGGCUUACCAAGGCUUUGACGGGUAGCCGGCCUGAGAGGGUGACCGGCCACAUUGGGACUGAGAUACGGCCCAGACUCCUACGGGAGGCAGCAGUGGGGAAUAUUGCACAAUGGGCGGAAGCCUGAUGCAGCAACGCCGCGUGCGGGAUGACGGCCUUCGGGUUGUAAACCGCUUUCGCCUGUGACGAAGCGUGAGUGACGGUAAUGGGUAAAGAAGCACCGGCUAACUACGUGCCAGCAGCCGCGGUGAUACGUAGGGUGCGAGCGUUGUCCGGAUUUAUUGGGCGUAAAGGGCUCGUAGGUGGUUGAUCGCGUCGGAAGUGUAAUCUUGGGGCUUAACCCUGAGCGUGCUUUCGAUACGGGUUGACUUGAGGAAGGUAGGGGAGAAUGGAAUUCCUGGUGGAGCGGUGGAAUGCGCAGAUAUCAGGAGGAACACCAGUGGCGAAGGCGGUUCUCUGGGCCUUUCCUGACGCUGAGGAGCGAAAGCGUGGGGAGCGAACAGGCUUAGAUACCCUGGUAGUCCACGCUGUA